AGCGGAGCCCGAGAUGGGUACUGAGACAACGACCCAGGCUACGAGCGCAGCAGCGCGAAACUCGCAAUAACACGAAAGUGUGACGGGUACCAAAGUGUUCAAUUUUGAACUGUGGUAGGUGAGUAAUGUUCCCUACUAGAAAGGAGAGGGCAAGGCUGGUGCCAGCCGCCGCGGUAAAACCAGCUCUUCAAGUGGUCGGGAUAAUUAUUGGGCUUAAAGUGUCCGUAGCCGGUUUAGUAAGUUCCUGGUAAAAUCGGGUAGCUUAACUAUCUAUAUGCUAGGAAUACUACUAUACUAGAGGGCGGGAGAGGUCUGAGGUACUACAGGGGUAGGGGUGAAAUCUUAUAAUCCUUGUUGGACCACCAGUGGCGAAGGCGUCAGACUGGAACGCGCCUGACGGUGAGGGACGAAAGCCAGGGGAGCGAACCGGAUUAGAUACCCGGGUAGUCCUGGCCGUAAACGAUGCAUACUAGGUGAUGGCACGGCCAUGAGCCGUGUCAGUGCCGUAGGGAAACCGUUAAGUGUGCCGCCUGGGAAGUACGGUCGCAAGGCUAAAACUUAAAGGAAUUGGCGGGGGAGCACCACAAGGGGUGAAGCCUGCGGUUCAAUUGGACUCAACGCCGGAAAACUUACCAGGGGAGACAGCAGUAUGACGGUCAGGUUGACGACCUUACCUAACGAGCUGAGAGGAGGUGCAUGGCCGUCGCCAGUUCGUGCCGUGAGGUAUCCUGUUAAGUCAGGCAACGAACGAGAUCCGCACCUUUAUUUGCCACCAAGAAGUCACGACUUCGUUGGGAACACUAAAGGGACCGCCGUCGAUAAGACGGAGGAAGGAGCGGGCAAAGGCAGGUCAGUAUGCCCCGAAACCCCUGGGCUACACGCGGGCUGCAAUGGUAUGAACAAUGGGCUGUGACUCCGAAAGGAGAAACCAAUCCCGAAAUCAUAUCUCAGUUGGAAUUGUCGGCUGUAACCCGCCGACAUGAACGCGGAAUCCCUAGUAAUCGUGUGUCAUCAACGCACGGUGAAUACGUCUCUGCUCCUUGCACACACCGCCCGUCGCUCCAUCCGAGUGUGCUAAAAAUGAGGUUUGGUCAAUUUGGUCAUAUCGA
rnacentral:rRNA from 1 species